rfam:Dictyocaulus viviparus strain HannoverDv2000 D_viviparus-1.0_Cont904.1, whole genome shotgun sequence.
GCGGGUAUAGUUUAAUGGUAGAAUUAUAGCUUUCCAAGCUAUUAUUGUGGGUCCGAUUCCCAUCACCCACU